AUGAUUCUUCUUGUGGGCUUCAGCCUUUCGUUUUUCUACAAGGACGUGCUGUGUAACCAAGUGACCCAGAUUUCCCAGGAGCAGACAGUGGCGAGUGGCAGUGAGGCGACACUGCAAUGCAUUUUCCAAACCACAUACUCAGAUCCAGACUUAUACUGGUACCAAAUAAGACCAGAUCGUUCCUUCCAGUUUGUCCUGUACAGGGAUAGCACUACAUCCCAUGAUGCGGAUUUUGCUCGGGGUAGAUUUUCCGUGCAGUACAGCCUGACCCACAAAACCUUCCACUUGGUGAUCUCCUCAGUGAGGCCUGAAGACAGUGCCACUUACUACUGUGCCUUGCGCUCCCACGGUGAUGCAGGUGUCCAGGAAGUCUGCACACAAACCCCUGGGCACAGCCUGGCAGAGCUGCCUCUCCGGACAGCUCACGUCCUUGGACACAGCAUCCUUCUUCCCUGUCAUUCUGUGGUCCAGUCUGGCCUUUAGAGGUACCCUAACGUGUCUGCCAAAUAAGAAAAGGCCUGGUCACAUCCAGGGGAGCACCCUGGCUUCCAAUGGAGCAGACAUC